rnacentral:rRNA from 1 species
UACGUAGGGUGCGAGCGUUGUCCGGAAUUACUGGGCGUAAAGAGCUCGUAGGUGGUUUGUCGCGUUGUUCGUGAAAACUCACAGCUUAACUGUGGGCGUGCGGGCGAUACGGGCAGACUGGAGUACUGCAGGGGAGACUGGAAUUCCUGGUGUAGCGAUGGAAUGCGCAGAUAUCAGGAGGAACACCGGUGGCGAAGGCGGGUCUCUGGGCAGUAACUGACGCUGAGGAGCGAAAGCUAGGGGAGCAAACGGG